rnacentral:tRNA from 2 species
UCCGGGGUAGCUCAACGGUAGAGCAGUUGACUGUUAAUCAAUUGGUUGUCGGUUCGAAUCCGACCCCCGGAG